UUAUACUUGGGAGUCAGACUGUGGGUGAUAAGAUUCAUAGUCGAAAGGGCAACAGCCCAGAUCGUCAGCUAAGGUCCCUAAAUGUAAGUUAAGUGGUAAAGGAUGUGGGAUUGCACAGACAACCAGGAUGUUGGCUUAGAAGCAGCCACUCAUUCAAAGAGUGCGUAAUAGCUCACUGGUCGAGUGAUCCUGCGCCGAAGAUUUCCGGGGCUAAAACUUACUACCGAAGCUACGGCAUCAGUAAUGAUGGGUAGGGGAGCUUCCCAU
rnacentral:rRNA from 1 species